rnacentral:ncRNA from 1 species
AGACGUUCCGAGGGGCGCCGGAGGUAACCGGCUGAGAUUGCGCAUCGUGCGCGAGCACCCUUAGAACCUGAUCCGGUUAGCACCGGCGAAGGGACGGAAUAUGACAGGCGC